AGUGAACGCUGGCGGUCGGCCUAACACAUGCCAGUCGAACGGCAGCACAGUAAGAGCUUGCUCUUACGGGUUGCGAGUGGCGGACGGGUGAGUAAUACAUCGGAAUCUACUUUUUCGUGGGGGAUAACGUAGGGAAACUUACGCUAAUACCGCAUACGACCUACGGGUGACAGCAGGGGAUCUUCGGACCUUGCGCGAUUGCAUCAGCCGAUGUCGGAUUAGCUAGUUGGCGGGGUAAAGGCCCACCAAGGCGACGCUCCGUAGCUGGUCUGAGAGGAUGAUCAGCCACACUGGAACUGAGACACGCUCCAGACUCCUAAGGGAGGCAGCAAUGGAGAAUAUUGGACACUGGGCGCAAGCCUGACCCAGCCAUACCGCGUGGGUGAAGAAGGCGUUCGGGUUGUAAAGCCAUUUUGUUGGGAAAGAAAAGCAGCAGGUUAAUACACCGCUGUUCUGACGGUACCCAAAGAAUAAGCACCGGCUAACUUCGUG
rnacentral:rRNA from 1 species